GCGUUCUACGGGCCGUGGCCGUGGGCUUCUGGGAAUUGUAGUCGCUGGGGGCAGACUCGGUCGGUAAGGAGACGUAGACUUCCUUGGGGUCCGCUACCGCAGUUGGCUCCCCACGGGAGCGGCGAGGGAUGGAAGCUUCCUGGCGCCAGGUGGCCGGUGGCCGGGGCCGAGCCCGAGGACGGGCCACUGCGGCCCCCUCCCCAGGAAAUGGACUCCAUCUGCGCGGAGCCGGAGGAGGGCGAGAGGCGGGGUCGGGGGGCGCCGCCGCGCCGGGCCCCAGCCCCCGAGGAGCCGCGAGCGCCGCGGCCGCAGCAGAGCUAAUGGCUCAAAGGAAAUUUGAGGAAAUCAAGAAGGCUAAUCAAGCUGCGGCCAAAAAACUUGUUGAAGAACACUUCAGCUCUUCCUCUGAAGAAGAAGGAGAUGAAGAUUUGGAAGGAAAACAGGGAAAAAUAGUUGCUAAUACGUUUAUAACUUACACUACUCAGACAGAUGGAGAUGUACGUGAAUUAGAGCGAACGAAACAGUAUUUAAAUGAAGCUUUUCAAGCAGGGGCUAUGACAUGCUUAAUUUGUAUUGCUUCAGUGAAGAGAAACCAGGCAGUUUGGAGUUGUUCAGGAUGUUUCUGUAUAUUUCACAUGCCCUGUAUCCAGAAGUGGGCUAAAGACAGCCAGUUUCUGGUAUCUUCUCUGACAGAUGACGAUUUUGGAAGGAGAGAUUAUCCCUGGCCUUGUCCAAAAUGUAGGUUUGAGUACAAACGAUCUGACACACCUAGUAGGUACUAUUGCUAUUGUGGAAAAGUAGAAGAUCCACCUUUAGAUCCGUGGCUUGUGCCUCAUUCAUGUGGCCAAGUGUGUGAAAGAGAAUUUAAACCUCCUUGCGGCCAUAAAUGUUUGCUCCUCUGUCAUCCAGGGCCCUGCCCUCCUUGUCCAAAGAUGGUCACAACUACUUGUUACUGUAAGAAAGCAAAACCCAUCCCUCGUAGAUGCAGUGCCAAGGAAUGGUCCUGUCAGCAGGCAUGUGGGCGGAAGUUGCUUUGUGGACAACAUAAAUGUGAAAAUCCUUGUCAUGCAGGGAGUUGUCCGCCCUGUCCAAGAGUUAGUAGGCAAAAGUGUGUCUGUGGCAAACAAGUAACUGAAAGAAGCUGUGCAAGUCCACUGUGGCACUGUGAUCAAGUAUGUGGGAAAACCUUGCCAUGUGGUAAUCAUACAUGUGAGCAAAUUUGUCAUGUUGGUGCUUGUGGAGAAUGUCCUCGAUCUGGGAAAAGAUUCUGUCCAUGUCAGAAGUCAAAGUUCUCUUUGCCUUGUACAGAAGAUGUGCCAACUUGUGGAGAUAGUUGUGACAAGUUACUUGAAUGUGGAGUCCAUAGAUGUUCACAGCGUUGUCACCGAGGUCCUUGUGAAACAUGUAGACAAGAAGUAGAAAAGCAAUGUCGCUGUGGAAAGCAUACAAAACGAAUGCCAUGUCAUAAACCUUAUCUCUGUGAAACUAAGUGUGUUAAGAUGCGUGACUGUCAGAAGCAUCAGUGUAAGAGAAAGUGUUGUCCUGGAAACUGUACACCUUGUGAUCAAAACUGUGGACGGACUUUAGGAUGUAGAAACCAUAAGUGUCCAUCUGUCUGCCACAGAGGGAGUUGCUAUCCUUGCCCAGAAACUGUAGAUGUGAAGUGCAAUUGCGGUAGUACAAAGGUGACAGUACCCUGUGGCCGAGAACGUACCACAAGACCACCCAAGUGCAAAGAGCUAUGCAGUCGCCCACCAACUUGCCAUCAUACAAGUCAAGAAAAACAUCGCUGUCACUUUGGCUCUUGUCCUCCAUGUCAUCAACCUUGCCAAAAAGUGUUGGAGAAAUGUGGUCACUUGUGUCCUGCUCCAUGUCAUGAUCAAGCAUUAAUAAAGCAAACUGGCAGGCACCAGCCUACAGGCCCUUGGGAACAGCCUUCAGAGCCAGCAUUUAUUCAGGCCGCAUUACCUUGUCCUCCAUGUCAAGUUCCUAUUCCUAUGCAGUGUCUUGGGAAGCACGAGGUGAGUCCACUACCAUGCCAUGCUGUAGGACCCUACUCUUGUAAGAGAGUUUGUGGACGAACCUUAGAUUGUCAGAAUCAUACAUGUAUGAAAGAAUGCCACAAAGUCACUGAAACUGAAGCCUGCAUUGGCAAAAAUAAGGCUGGCCCAGAAUGCCUUCAGUGUGAAGAAGGGUGCUCUAAAUCACGGCCAGUGGGUUGUCCUCAUCCAUGCGUUUUGCCAUGCCACCCUGGAGAAUGUCCUCCUUGUGUUCAGAUGCUUAGAAUAAAAUGUCACUGCAAGAUCACAACCCUAUAUGUGGAAUGUAGAAAAAUAACAACAGCUGAUAUAAAUGAAAAGAACCGCCUCAGUUGUUGCAAAGAUCAGUGUCCUAAAGAGCUUCCUUGUGGUCAUAGGUGCAAAGAGAUGUGCCACCCUGGUGAAUGUCCUUUUAAUUGCAACCAGAAGGUAAAACUUAGAUGUCCUUGUAAAAGAAUUAAAAAGAGAACAAGACUGUUUAUCACUAACAUCAACCAAAAGUGAAGAACUAAAGGGAAAAACCUUCUAAGUAAUAAAAUUUCAUUCUAUAAAGUGCUUUCAUUAAAGUAUAUGCACUUUAUUCAUAGGAAUUGGUGAUCUUAUUUCUUAACUGUGGUAGAUUUGAACUAAAAAACUAGAAUCUAAGAGUGUGAUGCGAGAGGAAAAAUUGAUACAAAUAUUGGUACCCUUAGAGCAAAAGACAUCUGACAGCAAGAAACAGGGAUAAAUAAAAGGUUUGUGAAAGAUCUAUAAAAUCAAAGUCUCAGAGUAUCCUAUAUAAUAAAAGCCUAAUACACUAAGUGUCCGGCCGUCUGGUCAUCUGUUCAACCAAUCAAAGUGUAAUACGCUAAGGAUAUGCUAAGGCCGCUCAACCGCUUACUAUGAUGUGCACUGACCACCAGGGGGUAGAUGCUCCGACUGGAAGGUUAGCUUAUUGCUGGGGUCUGGCAGGGACUGAGCGAGACAGUCUGGACAAGCCCUAGAACCCUCCUGUAGUCUCUCCCCGGCUGGCCAACCCCCCGAGUUCCUCCCUGGCCCCAUUCGUGCACCAGUGGGGUCCCUCGGCCUGGCCUGUGCCCUCUCACAAUCCGGGACCCCUUGGGGGAUGUCAGAGAGCCCGUUUAGGCCCCAUCCCGCAAACCAGUCAGAGGGACCCCACUGGUGCAUGAAUUCGUGCACCGGGCCUCUAGUUUAAAAUAAGGACCACUUAAUUCAUUAUAGCAUAGUACACAAAUUGAUCAUAGUAUUGAUAUCAAGUCAUUAAGAUCCUCCUUUAUUUCAUUAAGGAGGCAGUGAAGUGCAAAUACAAACUGUAGAAAGAUUUUCAUUUAAACUGAACAAAGGUUUACUAGUUUAGAGAAAAAUUUGUAGCUCUUUAGAAAAUUCUAGAAUUACAUUGAGUUGGUAGCCACUAGCCAUAUGUGGCUAUUUAAGUUUGAAUUUUAAUGAAUUAACAGUAAAUAAUAUUAAACGUUCAUGUCCUCCUUUCAUUAGACACAUUUUGAAUGCUCAGUAGCCACACGUGGUUAGUGCUACUCAAUUGGGUAGUUAGUGCAGAUUUAGAAUAUUUCCAGCAUUUCAGAAAGCCGCUGGAUGGACUGCUCUGGAGCAUUUUAUUACCUGGAAGCUUUAUAGAUUAACAAGAAACAAUAAAGAAAAACGGACGUUUCUCAAUAGUUGUACUUAGAAUUUCAGUGCAACAAAGUACGUGAAAAUCAGAUUUCAAUAGAAUGUGACGCAACAUGCAAGGAAAUGAAGCGGAAAGCCUCUGAG